AAAAAAAUGCCCAAGCUCCUUGUUACCAGUGCCUGUGGUGUAGAAAGGUUGAAUUACAUCGCCAACAGGAAACAGGACCAGUGGCCUCAGUAUCCAGUCUGUCAUCUUCUCAGGCACCUCCUGUAUCUACAUAAUGCCCUGUGACUUGAAAGAAAAUUUCUAAACUCUCUCGUAUCACCUUUCUAAUCAAGGCGAAGGACAAAGAAGCAAGAGCUGAAUUCUAAAGCUGAAAAAAAAAAUUAGAGCAUACAUCAUUUUGGAAAUGUGCUUGCUGACUCAGAGUGAUAUGGAGGUCACAAAAUGACUGAUCCUGCAGACAAAAUGCAGACUUUGGCUUAGACAAAGAGAGAACUGCUGCUUUCACAGGCUCAGGAAGCAACGUGCAGAGCAAGGCUCAGACGUCAACUCAUGCACUCGGGACUUAGCAACUAUGCUGUGAGCAAAUGCUGAAGCGACCUUAAGACCCAAUUAAGUUCCUGAAGUCAGAAGCCCAUGCUCCGCUGCAGACCAGACUGUAUGCACCAAGAACAAAGGAACCGUCUUGACCAGGCAGAAAGGAAACGAGCAGCCCACCCUCAAGAGUUUGGGGAGCUUACCGGUAUUAGUAAAGAGAAGCUGAGUGAGACCUAGUCCUACUCUGUCUAUCAGUCUGUGUGAUUAACUAUGUCUGACCACCUUCACACAGUUUGGGCAUCUUCAUACAAAUUCUAGUUUGAAACUAUAAAGAGGGCAGGGAGAAAUCCUUCUGGGGACUCUCAUUUACAGGUGAUGGAGCACCCCCUUGUCGGUGCUGAGAGGUACAGGGACAUGCAACCUGCACCUGUUCCUCUGACAGUAUCCCAGGCAGAACACCUCUGUCCUCCUCUGAUGGCUGUGGCACCGCGCUCCCAUCAGACUUCUUCAGUCUUGCAUU